rnacentral:rRNA from 1 species
AUUGAACGCUGGCGGCAAGCCUAACACAUGCAAGUCGCACGAGUGGCGGACGGGUGAGUAAUAUCUGGGAAACUGCCGGAUGGAGGGGGAUAACUACUGGAAACGGUAGCUAAUACCGCAUACCAUUGGAUGUGCCCAUAUUGGAGUAGCUAGUAGGUGGGGUAAAGGCUCACCAAGGCAACGAUCCAUAGCUGGUUUUAGAGGAUGACCAGCCAAACGGGAACUGAGACACGGCCCAGAAUCCUACGGGAGGCAGCAGUGGGGAAUAUUGCACAAGGGGGGCAAGCCUGAUGCAGCCAGGCCGCGUGUAUGAAGAAGGCCUUCGGGUUGUAAAGUACUUUUGGCAGGGAGGCGGUACCUGCAGAAGAAGCACCGGCUAACUCCGUGCCAGCAGCCGCGGUAAUAC